AGAAGUGACUCAUGACUGGGACUAAGUCGUAACAAGGUAACCGUAGGUGAACCUGCAGAAGGAUCA
rnacentral:rRNA from 1 species